GCCACUGUCCCUGACAUUGAUGUUGUACCUGAAGUCUGGAGACCUUUGGUCCUACCUCUGCAUUUUUUUUUUUCCUUCUGCAUUUCUUUCUUUUUUUUUUUUUUUUAAGAUUUUAUUUAUUUAUUUGACAGAGAGAGACACAGCGAGAGAGGAAAUACAAGCAGGGAGAAUGGGAGAGGGAGAAGCAGACUCCCUGCUGAGCGGAGAGCCUGACGCGGGGCUCGAUCCCAGGGCCCUGGGAUCAUGACCUGAGCCGAAGGCAGACGCUUAACGACUGAGCCACCCAGGGGCCCCAGCCUUCUGCAUUUCUUGGAAGAGAAAAUCCUGUCUCCUAUCAAGCUGGUUAUAAGAACCCAAACUAACUGCUUCAGGAAAAGGCUUCUAUACAUGACACUGGAGGUGCAUCUGGAGUCAGAGAGAGUGAACCCUUUAGAACUCUGGACAUUUUGUAUGACUACACUGGACAACUGGCAGCCUGAGAAAAAGAAACAAACAAGGUGAGCCCUAAAAUUGCCUCAGAUCACAGCCUAGAGGCAGUGUCCAGACCCUACCACGAAGGGAGAGGAAAUUGAAGCAAAGUCUGGAGGUCUGGCUGAAUUGAGGAGACUUAAGAGUGGAAUUUAGGAGGCCAAGGUGGCUGAAAUAUGUGGGACAGAGUUCUUGUAGAUGAGCUGCCCAGAGCGAGUUGCUGAGAUCGUCAGUGGGUCUUCUCUAACCUCUGGCUGAGAACUGAUGUGCACAGUCCUGAGUUGGGGGGAACCACAUCCAGGAAGCAGCAGACCCAACAUCCCUGGACCUUGCUCUUGACUGUUAAGAGCAUGUGCUCCACUAGUCACAGUGGAAAGCGUGCAUAAGACACGGGGUCUUGAUUAGAGUCCAAAGAAGGGCAACACCUUAAUUGUGGGGCUAACAGUCCUAGCAUAAAGGCUGUUCUUGACCUGGCUUAUCAAGGCUCAAACGCGAUUUCAAAAAUAUUAAAAUGACUGCAGUAACUUAACUGCAUGCCAAAACGAAGCCAUGCUCUUUAAAGGAAUACAACGGAAUCCAGCAUUCAACAAUGUAAAGUUCUCAGUGUCCAGCAACCAAUGAAAACUUACCAGGCAUAGAAAGAAGAAGAAAAAUAUGAGUCAUUAUAGGAGAAAAAUUAAUCAGUAAAAUAAACCUUGAAAUGACAGAGAUGAUGGAAGUAGCAGAAAAACCUUAAAACAGUUAUUAUUAAUCUUGAAAAUACAUCAGAUAAUGUACAGAAAAAAAUGGAUAUGAUGACGAGAGAUGGAAGAUUUAAAAAGAUCUAACUGGAAUGUCCAAGGAUGAAAACCUGCAGCAUUUAGAAGCCAAUUUGCUGAGAUUAACCUUUGACCUUUUACCAGACUCUUCUCAAAGAAUCUGGCCCAGCAAAUCCACAGAUUGUCAGCUGCUCUGUUCUUGAGGAUGAACAAGACCUGCCCGGCCCCACAGCACCAGUCUUUCAGGAGGGACAUCCUAGAAACCACGGCAGGCCAAAGAAAUCUUCUCAUUGCUCCUGAUCUUUGAAAUCCAGUGUAUUCAGGUUCUGUCCAGGCAAUGUUUUCUCUCUACUU